rnacentral:rRNA from 1 species
UUGACCUCAAAUCAGGUAGGAUUACCCGCCGAACUUA